rnacentral:rRNA from 1 species
GCUUGUCUCAAAGAUUAAGCCAUGCAUGUCUAAGUAUAAACAAAUCUAUACUGUGAAACUGCGAAUGGCUCAUUAUAUCAGUUAUAGUUUCUUUGAUGGUUCUUACUACUUGGAUAACCGUAGUAAUUCUAGAGCUAAUACAUGCAUGAACCCCCGACUUUUGAAGGGGUGUAUUUAUUAGAUAAAAGGCCGACCGGGCUCUGCCCGACUCGCGGUGAAUCAUGAUAACUUCACGAAUCGCACGGCCUCGUGCCGGCGAUGUUUCAUUCAAAUUUCUGCCCUAUCAACUUUUGAUGGUAGGAUAGAGGCCUACCAUGGUGGUAACGGGUGACGGAGGAUUAGGGUUCGAUUCCGGAGAGGGAGCCUGAGAAACGGCUACCACAUCCAAGGAAGGCAGCAGG